rnacentral:rRNA from 1 species
UCCCUAUCUGCCGUGGGCGUUGGAAAUUUGAAGGGGGCUGUUCCUAGUACGAGAGGACCGGAAUGGACGUAUCUCUGGUGUACCGGUUGUCACGCCAGUGGCAUUGCCGGGUAGCUAAAUACGGAAGAGAUAAACGCUGAAAGCAUCUAAGCGUGAAACUUGCCUUAAGAUAAGAUUUCCCUGAGGACUUGAUCCUCCUGAAGGGCCGUUGAAGACCACGACGUUGAUAGGCUGGGUGUGGAAGCGCUGUGAGGC